UACGUAGGGUGCGAGCGUUGUCCGGAAUUAUUGGGCGUAAAGAGCUCGUAGGCGGUUUGUCACGUCUGCUGUGAAAUCCCGAGGCUCAACCUCGGGCCUGCAGUGGGUACGGGCAGACUGGAGUGCGGUAGGGGAGAUUGGAAUUCCUGGUGUAGCGGUGGAAUGCGUAGAUAUCGGGAGGAACACCAGUGGCGAAGGCGACUACCUGGCCCAUUCUUGACGCUGAGGCGCGAAAGCUAGGGGAGCGAACGGG
rnacentral:rRNA from 1 species